rnacentral:lncRNA from 1 species
CACCUACUCGCAGUCUUUGCUCCAAUUCCCCUUUCCCUACUUUAAUCCCUCAAAAUAUUGAAAUCUUUGAAUUUUAAUUUUGUUUGUUUGUUCUUGGUUUGCAGAUCCGACGGUGUGCAGCCUCAUUUGGUGAACAUUCAAUUCCAGAGGAAAGGCUUCAAGGUAUGGUGGUUGCAGGUAGGGGAGUCGGGGGACGACGAACUGAUGGGUUUUUUUUUUUUUUUCUGGGUUGCAGAGGGUUUUUUUUUUUUUUUUUUUUUUUCUGGGUUGCAAAGGGGUUUUUUUUUUUUUUUUUUCUGGGUUGCAGGGGGAAGAAGAUGAAGAUGGGGAAGAUGAAGAUGGG